rnacentral:rRNA from 1 species
UGAAUACGAGAUGCUAAGGCGUCGAAGUAGCGUAUGUCAUGCUUCCAAGAAAAGCUUGCAAUGUCAUAAAUAAAAAUGCCUGUACCAUAACCGACACAGGUGGGUAAGUAGAGUAUACUAAGGGGCGCGAGAUAACUCUCUCUAAGGAACUCGGCAAAAUAACUCCGUAACUUCGGGAGAAGGAGUGCCUUAUUCUUAAGGUUGCAAUAACAAGAUCCAAGCAACUGUUUAUCAAAAACACAGGUCUCCGCUAAGUCGUAAGACGAUGUAUGGGGGCUGACGCCUGCCCAGUGCCAGAAGGUUAAAGAAGUCGGUUAGCAAUUGCGAAGCUGGUAACUGAAGCCCUGGUGAACGGCGGCCGUAACAAUAACGGUCCUAAGGUAGCGAAAUUCCUUGUCGGGUAAGUUCCGACCCGCACGAAAGGCGUAAUGAUUUGGAUGCUGUCUCGGAGAGGGGCUCGGUGAAAUAGACUUGUCUGUGAAGAUGCGGACUACCUGCACCAGGACAGAAAGACCCUAUGAAGCUUUACUGUAACUUGAAAUUGAAAUUGGACUUUAUUCGCGCAGUAUAGGUGGGAGGCGUUGAUUAUAAUCUUGCGGGAUUAUCGGAGCCAUCAGUGAGAUACCACUCUUCUAAUGUUAGAUUUCUAACUUUGAAUCAUUAUCUGGUCAAAGGACAAUUUCAGGCGGGCAGUUUGACUGGGGCGGUCGCCUCCUAAAUGGUAACGGAGGCGUACAAAGGUUUCCUCUGAACGGUUAGAAAUCGUAUCUAGAGUGUAAAGGCAUAAGGAAGCUUGACUGUGAGACCUACAAGUCGAGCAGGGACGAAAGUCGGUCUUAGUGAUCUGACGGUACUGAGUGGAAAGGCCGUCACUCAACGGAUAAAAGUUACUCUAGGAUAACAGGCUGAUCUCCCCCAAGAGUUCACAUCGACGGGGAGGUUUGGCACCUCGAUGUCGGCUCAUCGCAUCCUGGGGCGGUAGUACGUCCCAAGGGUUGGGCUGUUCGCCCAUGAAAGCGGUACGCGAGCUGGGUUCAGAACGUCGUGAGACAGUUCGGUCCAUAUCCGGUGUAGGCGUUAGAAUAUUGAGAGGAGCCUUCUUUAGUACGAGAGGACCGAGAAGGACAUACCUCUGGUGUACCAGUUAUCGUGCCAACGGUAAACGCUGGGUAGCUAUGUAUGGAGUGGAUAACCGCUGAAAGCAUCUAAGUGGGAAGCCCACCUCAAGAUAAGUAUUCUCA